UCUAGCGAGCCCACCUCCCACCCGUGUUUACUGUACCUUAGUUGCUUCGGCGGGCCCGCCAUUCAUGGCCGCCGGGGGCUCUCAGCCCCGGGCCCGCGCCCGCCGGAGACACCACGAACUCUGUCUGAUCUAGUGAAGUCUGAGUUGAUUGUAUCGCAAUCAGUUAAAACUUUCAACAAUGGAUCUCUUGGUUCCGGCAUCGAUGAAGAACGCAGCGAAAUGCGAUAACUAGUGUGAAUUGCAGAAUUCCGUGAAUCAUCGAGUCUUUGAACGCACAUUGCGCCCCCUGGUAUUCCGGGGGGCAUGCCUGUCCGAGCGUCAUUGCUGCCCAUCAAGCACGGCUUGUGUGUUGGGUCGUCGUCCCCUCUCCGGGGGGGACGGGCCCCAAAGGCAGCGGCGGCACCGCGUCCGAUCCUCGAGCGUAUGGGGCUUUGUCACCCGCUCUGUAGGCCCGGCCGGCGCUUGCCGAACGCAAAUCAAUCUUUUCCAGGUUGACCUCGGAUCAGGUAGGGAUACCCGCUGAACUUAAGCAUAUCAAUAAGCGGAGGAAA
rnacentral:rRNA from 1 species